rnacentral:rRNA from 1 species
GGGGACCCGCCAGCGGUGGAUGAUGUGGAUUAAUUCGAUGCAACGCGAAAAACCUUACCUACCCUUGACAUGUACGGAAGCCUCAAGAAAUCGAGGCGUGCUCAAAAGAAAGCCGUAACACAGGUGCUGCAUGGCUGUCGUCAGCUCGUGUCGUGAGAUGUUGGGUUAAGUCCCGCAACGAGCGCAACCCUUGUUAUUAGUUGCUACGAAAGGGCACUCUAAUGAGACUGCCGGUGACAAACCGGAGGAAGGUGGGGAUGACGUCAAGUCCUCAUGGCCCUUAUGGGUAGGGCUUCACACUUCAUACAAUGGUACAUACAGAGGGCCGCCAACCCGCGAGGGGGAGCUAAUCCCAAAAAGUGUAUCGUAGUCCGGAUUGCAGUCUGCAACUCGACUGCAAAUGUUGGAAUCCCUAAUAAUCGCGGAUCAGCAUGUCGAGGUGAAUACUUUCCCGGUUCUUGUACACACC